rnacentral:sRNA from 1 species
GCCGGGCUGGUGGCACACGCCUGUAAUCCCAGCGGCUCAGGAAGCUGAGGCAGGAGGAUCACAAGUUCAAAGCCUGCUUUACAACAUCGAGGCACUAAGCAACUCAGUGAGACCCUGUCUCUU